rnacentral:rRNA from 1 species
UACAGAGGUCUCAAGCGUCGUUCGGAUUCAUUGGGCGUAAGGGUGCGUAGGUGGUUGGGUAAGUCAAAUGUGAAAUCCCGGAGCUCAACUCCGGAACUGCAUUCGAUACUGCCCGGCUAGAGGAUUGGAGAGGAGACUGGAAUUCACGGUGUAGCAGUGAAAUGCGUAGAUAUCGUGAGGAACACCCGUGGCGAAGGCGGGUCUCUGGACAAUCCCUGACACUGAGGCAAGAAGGCCAGGGGAGCAAACGGG